GAUGAACGCUGGCGGCGUGCCUAAUACAUGCAAGUCGAGCGAACAGACGAGGAGCUUGCUCCUCUGACGUUAGCGGCGGACGGGUGAGUAACACGUGGAUAACCUACCUAUAAGACUGGGAUAACUUCGGGAAACCGGAGCUAAUACCGGAUAAUAUAUUGAACCGCAUGGUUCAAUAGUGAAAGACGGUUUUGCUGUCACUUAUAGAUGGAUCCGCGCCGCAUUAGCUAGUUGGUAAGGUAACGGCUUACCAAGGCAACGAUGCGUAGCCGACCUGAGAGGGGGAUAGGCCACACUGGAACGGAGACACGGUCCAGACUCCUACGGGAGGCAGCAGUAGGGAAUCUUCCGCAAUGGGCGAAAGCAUGACGGAGCAAGGCCGCGUGAGUGAUGAAGGUCUUCGGAUCGGAAAACUCUGUUAUUAGGGAAGAACAAAUGUGUAAGUAACUAUGCACGUCUUGACGGUACCUAAUCAGAAAGCAACGGCUAACUACGUG
rnacentral:rRNA from 1 species